AGAUUUCUUCCUGCACAUACAGACAUUAUCAGGCAUGAUUCAACUUUUCUGGGAAGAGUUGAGAUUGGAGUCAUAGCCAAAGAUUACAGUCCAUCAUCAAAGGAAGCUGAGACAGUAACUCAAGGAACUUGAAACAGAAUUCACAGAGGAACACAGCUUUCUGAUUCAUUGCUGGGAUCACAGUCAGCUAUUUUCCUUAUACCACUCAGGGUCAAUCCCUCCGGAAUCAAUCACCAGUUAGGAAUAUGCUACACAGAUGUGCCCACAGGUACAUGUGCCCUCCUGAUGGAGGAAAACAUGCUUCUCUACCCAGGUGUACCAAGAUAGCCAAGUCUAGUCAUCAUAAUGCUAUUGAAGAGGGUGUGUUUACAGUGUGAGUCAACAGUUCUACAACAAAAAAGACUGAAGGCUAUAGUCCUUACCUGAAGGCUAUCAGGCCCCAAACUGAAGAUCAGCUGUUUCUGCUUGAGUGUGGAGAUCAAUUUUUUU